rnacentral:rRNA from 1 species
AGCUCCAAUAGCGUAUAUUAAAGUUGUUGUGGUUAAAAAGCUCGUAGUUGGAUCUCAACAGCCCUGGAUCGGUCCGGUUUGUCCGGCACUGAUCUAUGAGUUGUGGUUUUGCCGGAGGUCGGCGGGUGCUCUUAAUCGAGUGUCCGCCGGUGCCGGCAGGUUUACUUUGAAAAAAUUAGAGUGUUCAAAGCAGGCUGUUAUGCCUGAAUAUUCGUGCAUGGAAUAAUAGAAUAGGAUGUCGAUCUUAUUUUGUUGGUUUUCGAGACUCGACAUAAUGAUUAAUAGGGACAGUCGGGGGCAUUUGUAUUCAAACGCUAGAGGUGAAAUUCUUGGACCGUUUGAAGACAAACUACUGCGAAAGCAUUUGCCAAGAAUGUUUUCA